UACGUAGGGUGCGAGCGUUGUCCGGAAUUAUUGGGCGUAAAGAGCUCGUAGGCGGUCUGUCGCGUCGAUCGUGAAAACUUGGGGCUUAACUCUGAGCGUGCGGUCGAUACGGGCAUCACUUGAGUUCGGCAGGGGAGACUGGAAUUCCUGGUGUAGCGGUGAAAUGCGCAGAUAUCAGGAGGAACACCGGUGGCGAAGGCGGGUCUCUGGGCCGAUACUGACGCUGAGGAGCGAAAGCAUGGGGAGCGAACAGG
rnacentral:rRNA from 1 species